UACGGAGGGUGCAAGCGUUAAUCGGAAUUACUGGGCGUAAAGCGCACGCAGGUGGCUGAGUCAGUCGAUUGUGAAAGCCCUGGGCUUAACCUGGGAAUUGCAGUCGAUACUACUCAGCUAGAGUAUGGGAGAGGGUAGUGGAAUUCCCGGUGUAGCGGUGAAAUGCGCAGAUAUCAGGAGGAACACCGGUGGCGAAGGCGGGUCUCUGGGCAGUAACUGACGCUGAGGAGCGAAAGCGUGGGUAGCGAACAGG
rnacentral:rRNA from 1 species